rnacentral:sRNA from 1 species
GGAGGGACCGCUGAUGGUGGCUUUGCAUUCUCCUGGGCAGAUCUGUAUCUUCGUCGGGGAGACGCUGCUGUUUUCUAACUGGGCCAUCACUGCAGACAUCCUCAUGUACGUGGUCAUCCCCACCCGGCGGGCCACUGCCGUGGCCUUGCAGAGCUUCACCUCCCACCUGCUGGGGGAUGCCGGGAGCCCCUACCUCAUUGGCUUUGUGAGUAGCCCUGGGGUGGGGCUGGCCUGGGGAGAAUGGGGGGCUUCAGGAGGGCUCUGCCCUGACAUCCACCCCCAAAUCCUUGCAGAUCUCAGACCUGAUCCGCCAGAGCACCAAGGACUCCCCGCUCUGGGAGUUCCUGAGCCUGGGCUACGCGCUCAUGCUCUGCCCUUUUGUCGUGGUCCUGGGUGGCAUGUUCUUCCUUGCCACUGCUCUCUUCUUCCUCAGCGACCGCGCCAAGGCUGAGCAGCAGUGAGUGGGGGUGAGGGGAGGCCCUGCCGUGCCCGCUGGGAAGCAGGGACCAUGAAAGCCACUGUGAGCGCUGCCCUGGGGUGGGUCGGGGAGGGUACAGACCUCUGAUGGACCCAGUGGGUGACCUGGUUGCUGGGGUCCAGCCCUGGGGCCUUCCCGUGCCUCUGGGGCUCAGUGCCAGGGUCAGCCUGGAGUUGUGGGAAGCCACGGUGGUGUCUGGUGGAUCCAGACUUGGGUUUGUCUCUGUACUUAGUGGUUUUCAAAGCUGGGACCCCUCCCCUUCCUCUUCCUCUCACUUUCUGACUUCUUUCUCCUUUCCUCUUUACUCCU